rnacentral:rRNA from 1 species
UUGGAGGGCAAGUCUGGUGCCAGCAGCCGCGGUAAUUCCAGCUCCAAUAGCGUAUAUUAAAGUUGUUGCAGUUAAAAAGCUCGUAGUUGAACUUCGGGAUCAAUGAAUUGGUCAUGCCGUUGGUAUGUACUGGUCAUAUUGGUUCUCACCUUCUAAGGAACCUUAAUGUCAUUCAUUUGAUGUUUUGGGGAAUUAGGACUGUUACCUUGAAAAAAUUAGAGUGUUUAAAGCAGGCUAACGCUUGAAUACAUUAGCAUGGAAUAAUGAAAUAGGACAUCGCAUUCUAUUUUGUUGGUUUCUAGGAUCGAUGUAAUGAUUAAUAGGGAUAGUUGGGGGCAUUAGUAUUCAAUUGUCAGAGGUGAAAUUCUUGGAUUUAUUGAAGACUAACUACUGCGAAAGCAUUUGCCAAGGAUGUUCUCAUUAAUCAAGAACGAAAGUUAGGGGAUCGAAGACGAUCAGAUACCGUCGUAGUCUUAACCAUAAACUAUGCCGACUAGGGAUCGGAUGAUGUUAAUUUUUUAAUGACUCAUUCGGCACCUUACGGGAAAC